CCCAGGAGGCAGAGGUUGCAGUAAGCCAAGAUCGCGCUAUUGGAAUCCAAUCUGGGUGACAAGAGCCAAACUCUGGCUCAAAAAAAAACUUGGAAAUACUUUAUGAAAUUUAUGUGUGAAAUACACAUAGGAAAAGUGAACAAUUCUCCCAGAAAGUACAGAAAAAAAGACAAAAUAGAUGGAAAAUAGAAAAGAAAAUUUAAGGACCAGUUUAAGUGGUCCAACAUCUGAAUAAUAGGAAUUGCAGGAAGAGAGAAAACAGGGUGGGAAGUGACUCGUAAAAUAGUUGAUGAUUGCAGCACAUGAGCCACCGUAUUAAAACUGUAUGCUUGUGCCUAGCACUAGGGAAGAAAAUAGACCUGCACCAGGCAUGAAAUUUCUGAACACUGAGUUUAGAGAAAAGAUUUACAAGCUUCUGGAUGGAAGGGUACCAGGUCACAUAUCAAGAAUCAGAAUAUCCAGGCGUGGUGG